ensembl:misc_RNA Metazoa_SRP Metazoan signal recognition particle RNA
GCCAGGCAUGGUCGUGCAUACCUGUAGUCCCAGCUACUAAGGAGGCUGAGGUGGGAGAAUUGCUUGAGCCCAGGAGCUCAAGGCUGGAGUGAGCUGUGAUCACCACUGCACUCUAGCCUGGGCAACAGAGCAAGACCCUGUCUCAA